AAUGAACGUUGGCGGCAUGGAUUAGGCAUGCAAGUCGGGGGAAUCCCAGCAAUGGGGGAACCGGCGUAAGGGGCAGUAAGGCAUGGGUACCUACCUUGGGGUUCGGGAUAGCCAUCAGAGAUGGUGGGUAAUACCGGAUGACGUCGUGAGACCAAAGAUUUAUCGCCCUUAGAGGGGCCCAUGUGAUAUUAGCUAGUUGGUGGGGUAACGGCCCACCAGGGCGAAGAUGUCUAGCGGGUGUGAGAGCACGACCCGCGCCACUCGCACUGAGACACUGGCGAGACACCUACGGGUGGCUGCAGUCGAGGAUCUUCGGCAAUGAGCGCAAGCUUGACCGAACGAUGCCGCGUGAGCGAUGAAGGCCUUCGGGUUGUAAAGCUCUUUAGUGGGGGAGAAAGGCCGCAAGGUGUGAUCUAUCCCAAAAAUAAGCACGGGCUAAGUUCGUGCCAGCAGCCGCCGUAA
rnacentral:rRNA from 1 species